GUUUUGUAUAAGAUGGGUAGCUCACUUGGUUAGAGCGUGGUGCUGGUAAUGAGAAGGUUGCAGGUUCAAUCCCUGUAUAGGACA